AUAAAUAUUUUAUAAAAAUAAAAUUUGCAAAUUUUAAUAUAUAUUACUUUUAAAAAAUAAAUCGUCCCGCGGUAUACCGCGGGUUAAAAUCUAGUCGAUACUAUUAAUUGGGAAGCAUUUUGUGAACUACAACAUUGUGAGGGUAGUUUUAAAUUA
rnacentral:sRNA from 1 species